UGGGGAACAUUGGACAAUGGGCGCAAGCCUGAUCCAGCCAUGCCGCGUGGAUGAUGAAGGCCCUAGGGUUGUAAAGUCCUUUCGACGGGGAAGAUAAUGACGGUACCCGUAGAAGAAGCCCCGGCUAACUACGUGCCAGCAGCCGCGGUAACACGUAGGAGGCAAACGUUAUCCGGAUUUACUGGGCGUAAAGCGCGUGUAGGUGGUCCUGUAAGUAGGGCGUGAAAGCUCCUGGCUCAACUGGGAGAGGUCGUUCAAAACUGUCAGACUUGAGAGUGGUAGAGGGAGGUGGAAUUCCUAGUGUAGCGGUGGAAUGCGCAGAUAUCCUGAGGAACACCAGUGGCGAAAGCGGUCUUCUGGCACGAAACUGACGCUGAGGCGCGAAAGCGUGGGGAGCAAACA
rnacentral:rRNA from 1 species